AUUGAACGCUGGCGGCAGGCCUAACACAUGCAAGUCGAGCGGAUGAAGGGAGCUUGCUCCUGGAUGCAGCGGCGGACGGGUGAGUAAUGCCUAGGAAUCUGCCUGGUAUUGGGGGAUAACGUCCGUAAACGGGCGCUAAUACCGCAUACGUCCUGAGGUAGAAAGGGGUGGAUCUUCGGACCUCACGCUAUCAGAUGAGCCUAGGUCGUAUUAGCUAGUUGGUGUGGUAAAGGCCUACCAAGGCGACGAUCCGUAACUGGUCUGAGAGGAUGAUCAGUCACACUGGAACUGAGACACGGUCCAGACUCCUACGGGAGGCAGCAGUGGGGAAUCUUGGACAAUGGGCGAAAGCCUGAUCCAGCCAUGCCGCGUGUGUGAAGAAGGUCUUCGGAUUGUAAAGCACUUUAAGUUGGGAGGAAGAGAAGUAAGUUAAUCCCUUGCUGUCUUGACGUUACCAAAAGAAUAAGCACCGGCUAACUUCGUG
rnacentral:rRNA from 1 species